UCCGGCCCUGGUCCAGGCGCGCUGAGGGCCGGCGUUUUUCUCGCGCGCGCCUGCGGACAGGCCCGCGGAUAAGCUCCUGUUCAGCCUCGGAGGCCGAUCC
rnacentral:tRNA from 1 species